GUUUGCGACAUGGCAAGAACCAAACCCAGCUGCGCAAGGCUCGUGGCACCUCUUGCUAAACGCUGCUUGGAUUUAACCCCCCCUGCAAACUCCCUCGGCGCCUCCUGUCUGAAACACAACCAAAGCCGUGUCCCUUUCUGAAAAAUGAAUGCAAAGGAGGGGAAAAAAGCCCUGCGAGGAGCUGACCCCUUUCCAAACGCCUGCCAGCGGAGGCAUUGCCCCGUUUGCAGCGCUGCAUUUUGGGGCUGAGCCCGGCUGCAGCUCCCUGAGAUGGCGACCGCGCUGCGUCCCCUCCAGCCGAGGGCCUUGCACCCAGGCGGCCCCAGCCAAGCACCGUGUGCUGCGGUGCCUUCGGCUGCCCCAAACCUGCCCAUGGGCGUGCUCGGGCUUCCCCUCUUUGCUGCGAGCCCGGCGAGGAAUUUGGUUUCUGUCCCUGGCUGAGGACUGCUGUUAUUAAUAUCCCUCCCUCGUUAUUUCUUCUGCGCCGCCGGUGAGUGGCUGUAACCGGAGAGCAGCGCCGGGAGGGGGGCGCGAACAACCGGGGCUGUCGGUUCUCGGUCCCCGAAACUUUUGGCGAUUUCUUGCUCACCCCUGGGGAGGGCUCUGGGGGCUGCCUUCGCGGUGGUUUUGCACCCAGGGGCUGCUCCGCGUGGGUCGCUCGGUGUUCGAAGCAAAGCCGCGGCCGUCUCCAAAAAAUCCCCGGCCAGGUGCGCCCCGCAGCCGGGAGCGGUGCUGGGAUGGGAAGCUGCGUGCAGCGGGGGGAAAUCGGGAAGUGGCUUUUUUUAGGGGUAAAAGGGGGAUUUUUUUUUGUUGUUCUGAGCAAGUUUGGGAGGACAGAGGGUGGCUUGCUGGGGGGAGGGUUGUGGGAGGAAGGGAAGUGGCCUGGCAGCGCACCACGGAGAGCUCUGCGCAAAUGGUGACCCGCGGGGGGGACGUGGGGCAGUGCCCCCUGCCCCGAGCUCCCCGUGCUGAAAGGAGGGGGGCUGAGCGCUGGGGGGGCUGCUCCGAGCUGGGCAGAGCCGCACCUGGCUGUUGCCAUCCUGCCGCUUGUUUUCAC
rnacentral:lncRNA from 1 species